rnacentral:lncRNA from 1 species
AAAUAAUUAAUGAUCACAGAUCAUAUAUGUAUCGUAUGUAGUUAAAGUUCAAAAAAAAAGUGGGAUCAGGUACUGUUUCUUUAUCUUUCUUUGUAAAGAAAACUUGGUGCUCCAGCUAGAACUUAAUCGGUACACUCCCGAGUGACCUCCCAGCUCACGUUGGUCGGCCGGUGGCCUCCUCCGUCCAUGCCAUGACGAGGGGAAAAGUGCUGGGAAUCACUUGGGCUACGUUGCAUGUGCCAUCCAAUUAUCUUUGUUGCGAGGGAGCAUUGUAAGUUGACUCGAAGAUCUAUGGAACGUACACUGGACCGGUGAUUCCACAGAUCAUUUGCUUCAUGGCUUAAAUGAUGGCAGGGAACAGAGUGCAUCAUUGAAACGUUGACUUGUUAUUUAUCCUGGGGUCGCUGGACCAGAGUCAUCGUGUCGGAUGGGCCUGUAGAUCCGGCACCUUUUUGACUGGGUCCGUGUGCUGUUCCAGGCUGUGCACCGUCGUCCGUCGUCGACAUCCGACAGGCGAGCACCUUCCGAUGGAGAUCCGUCGUUACAAAAAUGGUCCUAAGCACGCACCAAGUCCUUGCAUGCACCACUGAACUCUCUUUUUUUCAGAGUAGUGAAAUCUUUCGCCCUCGC